rnacentral:tRNA from 1 species
UGGGCCUAUAGCUCAGCUGGUUAGAGCGCACGCCUGAUAAGCGUGAGGCCGGUGGUUCGAGUCCACUUAGGCCCACCAU